rnacentral:misc_RNA from 1 species
UUACCCUGCCGGUAAUGAAGCUGAGCUAUAGUAUGAAGUUUGCAAUGGGUUCUUAUGAUACGAAUUUGAUAUCAAGUAUCACAGGUAAGCAAGAAGGAAACAGAAGGAGGGAAAGAAAAGAAUGCUGUAACGGGGAUAUUCCCCAGAAAGCUUUUGUGCGCGGAUUUUGGUUCUAAAGUUUUGGAAGAGAUUGCUUAUGCCUUAUUGUUUGAAAGGAU